GUAGGUGGCAAGCGUUGUCCGGAAUUAUUGGGGCGUAAAGCGCGCGCAGGCGGUUCUUUAAGUCUGAUGUGAAAGCCCACGGGCUCAACCGUGGAGGGUCAUUGGAAACUGGAGAACUUGAGUACAGAAGAGGAAAGCGGAAUUCCACGUGUAGCGGUGAAAUGCGUAGAGAUGUGGAGGAACACCAGUGGCGAAGGCGGCUUUCUGGUCUGUAACUGACGCUGAGGCGCGAAAGCGUGGGGAGCAAACAGGAUUAGAUACCCUGGUAGUCCACGCCGUAAACGAUGAGUGCUAAGUGUUAGGGGGUUUCCGCCCCUUAGCGCUGCAGCUAACGCAUUAAGCACUCCGCCUGGGGAGUACGGCCGCAAAGGCUG
rnacentral:rRNA from 1 species